CGAGGGGCUUGCUCCUCGGUAAAAGCGGCGCACGGGUGAGUAACACGUGGAUAACGUUCCCAAGGGUUAGGGAUAACCUGCUGAAAGGCGGGCUAAUACCUAAUGAGUUCACGAAGAGGAUGCUCUUUGUGAAGAAAGCGGGGCAACUCGCGCCCAUGGAUCGGUCCGCGUCCCAUCAGCUAGUUGGUAGGGUAACGGCCUACCAAGGCUAAGACGGGUAACUGGUCUGAGAGGACGACCAGUCACACUGGGACUGAGACACGGCCCAGACUCCUACGGGAGGCAGCAGUGGGGAAUAUUGGUCAAUGGGCGAAAGCCUGAACCAGCAAUGCCGCGUGAGUGAUGAAGGCCUUCGGGUUGUAAAGCUCUGUCGGGGGAGACGAAAAAAUCGCCUAACAAGCGAUCUUGACGGUACCCCCAAAGGAAGCACCGGCUAACUCUGUGCCAGCAGCCGCGGUAAUACAGAGGGUGCAAGCGUUGUUCGGAAUUACUGGGCGUAAAGCGCGUGUAGGCGGUCUAGCAAGUCAGACGUGAAAUCCCUAGGCUUAACCAAGGAAUGGCGUCUGAUACUGCUAGGCUUGAGUGUCGGAGGGGAUGGCGGAAUUCCCGGUGUAGAGGUGAAAUUCGUAGAUAUCGGGAGGAACACCCGUGGCGAAGGCGGCCAUCUGGAAGACAACUGACGCUGAGACGCGAAAGCGUGGGGA
rnacentral:rRNA from 1 species